AGCAGUAGCCACGGUAAUACGAAGGGUGCAAGCGUUAAUCGGAAUUACUGGGCGUAAAGUGUGCGUAGGCGGUUUGAUAAGUCAUCUGUGAAAUCUCUGGGCUCAACCCAGAGUCUGCAGGCGAAACUGUCGGGCUUGAGUAUGGGAGAGGUGAGUGGAAUUUCCGGUGUAGCGGUGUAAUGCGUAGAUAUCGGAAGGAACACCUGUGGCGAAAGCGGCUCACUGGACCAUAACUGACGCUGAUGCACGAAGGCUAGGGGAGCAAACAGGAUUAGAUACCCCUGUAGUCCCUGUCUCUUAUAC
rnacentral:rRNA from 1 species